rnacentral:rRNA from 1 species
UGGGGAAUCUUGCGCAAUGGGCGAAAGCCUGACGCAGCAACGCCGCGUGAGCGAAGACGGCCUUCGGGUUGUAAAGCUCUGUCAGGAGGGACGAAGCCACUCAGGUGAAUAGCCGAGAGGGUGACGGUACCUCCAGAGGAAGCCCCGGCUAACUACGUGCCAGCAGCCGCGGUAAUACGUAGGGGGCUAGCGUUGUCCGGAAUCAUUGGGCGUAAAGCGCGUGUAGGCGGCCAUCCAAGUCUGAUGUGAAAGCUCGGGGCUCAACCCCGAGUCUGCAUUGGAAACUGGGUGGCUUGAGUCCGGAAGAGGAGACUGGAAUUCCUGGUGUAGCGGUGAAAUGCGCAGAUAUCAGGAAGAACACCGGUGGCGAAGGCGGGUCUCUGGGACGGUACUGACGCUGAGACGCGAAAGCGUGGGGAGCAAACA